UACGUAGGGUACAAGCGUUGUCCGGAAUUAUUGGGCGUAAAGAGCUCGUAGGCGGUUCGUCGCGUCUGCUGUGGAAACGCAAGGCUCAACCUUGCGCGUGCAGUGGGUACGGGCGGACUAGAGUGCAGUAGGGGAGUCUGGAAUUCCUGGUGUAGCGGUGAAAUGCGCAGAUAUCAGGAGGAACACCGGUGGCGAAGGCGGGACUCUGGGCUGUAACUGACGCUGAGGAGCGAAAGCAUGGGGAGCGAACA
rnacentral:rRNA from 1 species